rnacentral:SRP_RNA from 1 species
GCUGGGGGUGGUGAUGCCUGCCUGUAGUUCCAGCUACUUGGGAGGCUGAAGCAGGAGGAUCACUUGAGUCCAGGGGUUCUAGGCUAUAGCGCACUACAAUACCAAUAGAGUGUUCACACUCAGUUCAACCUCAAUAUGGUGACCAGGAGCAGGGGAUCUCAGGAGGGAUGAACCAGCCCAGGUCAGAAAUGGAUCAGGUCCAGACUCCCAUGCUGAUCAGUAGUGGGAGUGCACGUGUGACUAGCCACUGCACUCCAGCCUAGGCAACAUAGCCAUCCCCCAU